rnacentral:lncRNA from 1 species
CCCCUAAGCUCCGCCCACUCCCCGCCCCUGAGGUCCAUCUGGGGCCUCGCCCGGCGAUCUGGGACUGGGGAGGACCCUGCUGACUUCCAGGCAGGUGGAAACUGGAUUGAUAGAAAUCCAGCGCGGGGAGGCUGUGCUGAGAGGAGGGACGCCCCUGCCCUGCGCCUCCCGCUCCCCAUCUCUGGCUGGUAUCCCGGUUACAGAAUGAGGGUCCGUGGUGCAACAGAAAGAAUGAGCCACUGAUACACUCAUCAGCUUGCUCGGAUCUCCCGGGGAGUUACGCUGGUGAGAGAAACCAGUCCCAAAGGUCACUCACCGACGGCGCCGCUGGUGUACUGGUAUUAUGCAAGAUGCCCUCGCAAAGGUCACGCACGGAUGGUUCAUUUAUCCAAAGACCAAAGGAGAGAAAUGCAGGACUCAUUAGCAGUGCCCAGGAGAUAGGGGGGCGGGUGGGUGUGGCUAUAAAAACGCAACCCGGGGGGUGCCUGUGAAGGAAAUCUGCGUCCCGCGGAACGCAACACGCUGUUGGGAUACUGGAUUGUCCUUUGUGAGAUGCCACUAUCGGGGGAAACCGGAUGGCUUCACAGAAAAAGUUCGUUUAAAGGAAAAUGGUUUAAGGCCAAGGAAAUACCUAGAAAACGGAAAGUCUUGAAACCAGAGCCGGUGCACUGCUGGGAUUGGUCUAUGUGCUGAUGAUGUUCUCCUUGUCUUCAGAGGAAAAAGAAUGCCUGUGUUUCGAAGUUCCUUCUUAGGACGAAACCAGCUGAAGCUGGCGAAAUCCAAGAUGGCGCCUCUGAAGAGCCUCUGGCUUUAUCAUCAUCCUGUUCUCAUGCUAAACAACAUGUCGCCAUGACAACGACUGGAAGAGACCAAGAAGGGACAGAAAAAAAGGGGUUUCUUGAUUCCGGGAAAAAUCUCCGUUCUUUCCCAAGGAAAGCACGAAUAUUCCCCCCCGUGCUCUUAAUGCCCAGCCCCUUCAUUAAAGACACCCUACCUCUGAAACUUCCCAGCUCUCACAAGCUAAGUUGAUUUCAGAUCUUCCAAUUCCAUAGCCAUUGAAUACAGCCUGCACUGCUUGACACACUCCCUUUCGGUUUCGUGCAUUGGCCUCACCACGCAACAGGAAACAACCCUUUUUGGGAUAACCGGGACUCCCGGUAACAUUUCCAUAUAUACAUAUCUUAAUGUAUGCAAGGGCGUCUGGGGGAGAAAGAAGCAGCACAUUUCAUUCUUUGCUUUCUAUAAUACUGGAUUGCUUGAGUUUGUGACACAUGUUAACAUUUGCAACAUUUUUAAACUAAAUUGUAUGUAUUAUAGAACAGUCCUCUGCGCUGAGCUUGGACUUAAAGUGGAAAGGCUUACAUUUGCAGAAUUAAAAAAAGCAUCGAAACA